rnacentral:rRNA from 1 species
AUUGAACGCUGGCGGCAUGCUUUACACAUGCAAGUCGAACGGCAGCGCGGGCUUCGGCCUGGCGGCGAGUGGCGAACGGGUGAGUAAUACAUCGGAACGUGCCCAGUAGUGGGGGAUAGCUCGGCGAAAGCCGGAUUAAUACCGCAUACGACCUGAGGGUGAAAGCGGGGGAUCUUCGGACCUCGCGCUAUUGGAGCGGCCGAUGGCAGAUUAGCUAGUUAGUGGGGUAAAGGCCUACCAAGGCGACGAUCUGUAGCUGGUCUGAGAGGACGACCAGCCACACUGGGACUGAGACACGGCCCAGACUCCUACGGGAGGCAGCAGUGGGGAAUGUUGGACAAUGGGCGAAAGCCUGAUCCAGCAAUGCCGCGUGUGUGAUGAAGGCCUUCGGGUUGUAAAGCACUUUUGGCGGGAACGAAAAGGACUGUGCCAAUACCACGGUUCGAUGACGGUACCCGCAGAAUAAGCACCGGCUAACUACGUG